rnacentral:rRNA from 1 species
UACGUAGGUCCCGAGCGUUGUCCGGAUUUAUUGGGCGUAAAGCGAGCGCAGGUGGUUUAAUAAGUCUGAUGUAAAAGGCAGUGGCUCAACCAUUGUGUGCAUUGGAAACUGUUAGACUUGAGUGCAGUAGAGGAGAGUGGAAUUCCAUGUGUAGCGGUGAAAUGCGUAGAUAUAUGGAGGAACACCGGUGGCGAAAGCGGCUCUCUGGAUUGUAACUGACACUGAGGCUCGAAAGCGUGGGUAGCAAACAGG